UACGUAGGAUGCAAGCGUUGUUCGGAAUUAUUGGGUGUAAAGGGCGCGUAGGUGGUUUGUUAAGUUGAAUGUGAAAGCCCCGGGCUCAACCUGGGAACUGCAUCCAAAACUGGCAAGCUAGAGUACGGUAGAGGGUGGUGGAAUUUCCUGUGUAGCGGUGAAAUGCGUAGAUAUAGGAAGGAACACCAGUGGCGAAGGCGACCACCUGGACUGAUACUGACACUGAGGUGCGAAAGCGUGGGGAGCAAACAGGAUUAGAAACCCCGGUAGU
rnacentral:rRNA from 1 species